rnacentral:tRNA from 1 species
AAGCCCACGAGGUGAAUUACGCCAAAAUGCAAAUUUGGAGAAGCUCCCCCAAAAGGAGCCGGGGCUUCUCCCGUUUCUUCUCAACGGGAGAAG